GUCCCUGUAGCACAAUGGAUAGUGCGUUGGAUCUCUAACCCAAUGGUCGUGGGGUCGAAUCCCACCCGGGAUG